CAGGCCUAACACAUGCAAGUCGAGCGGUAACACAGAGAGCUUGCUCUCGGGUGACGAGCGGCGGACGGGUGAGUAAUGUCUGGGAAACUGCCUGAUGGAGGGGGAUAACUACUGGAAACGGUAGCUAAUACCGCAUAACGUCGCAAGACCAAAGAGGGGGACCUUCGGGCCUCUUGCCAUCAGAUGUGCCCAGAUGGGAUUAGCUAGUAGGUGAGGUAAUGGCUCACCUAGGCGACGAUCCGUAACUGGUCUGAGAGGAUGAUCAGUCACACUGGAACUGAGACACGGUCCAGACUCCUACGGGAGGCAGCAGUGGGGAAUAUUGGACAAUGGGCGAAAGCCUGAUCCAGCCAUGCCGCGUGUGUGAAGAAGGUCUUCGGAUUGUAAAGCACUUUAAGUU
rnacentral:rRNA from 1 species